rnacentral:rRNA from 1 species
UACGGAGGGUGCAAACGUUGCUCGGAAUCAUUGGGCGUAAAGCGCACGUAGGCGGCCUGUUAAGUCGGAUGUGAAAGCCCCGGGCUCAACCCGGGAAGUGCAUACGAAACUGGCAGGCUUGAAUAUGGAAGAGGGUCGCGGAAUUCCCGGUGUAGAGGUGAAAUUCGUAGAUAUCGGGAGGAACACCAGUGGCGAAGGCGGCUACCUGGACCAGCACUGACACUGAGGCACGAAAGCGUGGGGAGCAAACAGG